rnacentral:rRNA from 1 species
GACGAACGCUGGCGGCGUGCUUAACACAUGCAAGUCGAACGGACAGGCGCUGCUUUUGUGGGUUUCUCGAGUGCCGCACGGGUGAGUAACACGUGAGUAACCUCUCCUUGACUUUGGGAGAACUUUACGGGACUGCGGCUAAUACCCGGUAGGAGCUACUGCUGCACAUGGGUGGUUGGUCAGUUUCGGCGGUUGUGGAUGGUCUCGCGGCUUAUCAGCUUGUUGGUGGGGUAGUGGCUUACCAGGGCUUUGACGGGUAGCCGGCCUGAGAGGGUGACCGGCCACAUUGGGACUGAGAUACGGCCCAGACUCCUACGGGAGGCAGCAGUGGGGAAUAUUGCACAAUGGGCGGAAGCCUGAUGCAGCAACGCCGCGUGCGGGAUGACGGCCUUCGGGUUGUAAACCGCUUUCGCCUGUGACGAAGCGUGAGUGACGGUAAUGGGUAAAGAAGCACCGGCUAACUACGUG